UGACCGCUGGCGGCGUGCCUAAUACAUGCACGUCGAGCGAACAGACGAGGAGCUUGCUCCUCUGACGUUAGCGGCGGACGGGUGAGUAACACGUGGAUAACCUACCUAUAAGACUGGGAUAACUUCGGGAAACCGGAGCUAAUACCGGAUAAUAUAUUGAACCGCAUGGUUCAAUAGUGAAAGACGGUUUUGCUGUCACUUAUAGAUGGAUCCGCGCCGCAUUAGCUAGUUGGUAAGGUAACGGCUUACCAAGGCAACGAUGCGUAGCCGACCUGAGAGGGUGAUCGGCCACACUGGAACUGAGACACGGUCCAGACUCCUACGGGAGGCAGCAGUAGGGAAUCUUCCGCAAUGGGCGAAAGCCUGACGGAGCAACGCCGCGUGAGUGAUGAAGGUCUUCGGAUCGUAAAACUCUGUUAUUAGGGAAGAACAAAUGUGUAAGUAACUAUGCACGUCUUGACGGUACCUAAUCAGAAAGCCACGGCUAACUACGUG
rnacentral:rRNA from 1 species